CUUCGCUCUCAGCCUCUCUUCUCUUCUCUUCUGCUCUCAGCCUCUCUUCUUUUUCAUUAAACCAGAUCAUCAUAAAAACCUCAAUCAUCACAAAAACCUCUCAGAUGAAUCGAUUAACAAACUAGGGUGUGUUGUUGCUCCUCAAGAUUUGAACUUUGAAUAACUGGUCCAAAGCUAUGUUGUUUAUGGCCAUUUGCCAUGAGUGCUGCUUCUUCGGCUUCUCUGAUGAUCCUGUUUGCUGCUGAUCCUAACCACUCAACAAACAGAUGGUUUUCAAGUUUAUAAUGAGGGUGUCACCUAAUUCAGAAAAAGACAAAGGCGCAGAGGACUAUGUAUGAGGAUUAGAAACUCGAGGAGAAAUCGAGCAAUAGGGUAAGGAAAUAGAGAAUGCAAUGGCUGAAUUGGGAAGGUUACUUAUCGAUGAAGCAUCAAGGAAUUGGCUGAGAUUCGGAGAUGGAGAUACUUCUCAAAUUCGCUUGGACCUCGAAGAGGAAAUUGUUUAUAUGGUUUGUAGUCUAAAACUUUAGGGAAGAAAAGUAAAGGAAAAAGGCUUUUUUUACCACAAAAGAAUUCCGUGGCUUAUGCACUAUUGAUUACCCUUUAUGAACGAACUUCAGAUGGAACAGGUACUCAAUUCAUGAAGAAACAAGAACUUAUUGAUGCCGAUGAGGCCAGUGGACUGUCAAGGACGUCGAUUAUGUAUGUAAUAACGUAUUGGUGUUAUCUGCUCGCGAGUGCCUAUCAAAAACCAUCAAUUUGUACAGAUGUUCGGUUGAUUGCAAUGAUUUGGGCACAUCCAAAAAUGUUCCAGAUGCACCGGGUUUAGAAUUUGGUCAUAGUAAUUUGUCUGAUGAAGAAGUUACAUGGGAUUCAAGUAGUCAAGAGAAAUCAAUUGCUAUAGACGAAGUUUUCAAGAAGGCAAACUUUAUUCUAAGGAUUAUUUUGGUCAUCCAUGUAGGAUUUGGAAUUUUGGAUGCUGGAUUUGCUGGAUCAUCUGUCUCGACUGCCUAGGACGUUUUGUUUGCGUCUUUUUCUUAUCCAUGUUCUAAUAUUCUUUCAAACCUAUGCUAAAUGUCAUUUUCUUCUUAUAGACAAAUACCUAUGUUUUGUACUUAAGUUCAGUGUUUGUCUGAGUGCUCAAGUUGUUACCUGAACACCCUGCAAACGUUUUGAUUUCUUAUCUUUCAUUUUGUAGAAUGGAAGAUUGGAUGAGUUGCUCUCAGACUGUAGGCAGACCAUGGGAAAGGUUACCCAUCCAUCCUCCAACACCUCCAUUGUUGAAGAUAUGGCUGCUUGGACGAAGAACUUCAGUGGUGUAGAACUUGAAGGUGUUGUUAAAAGUGUCAUAUCAUAUGCCUUGAACAGGCAACUAAGCCUAGAAGAUCUUACUAAGACAUUGGAUGAGGAGAGCAUACAAGUAACCAUGGAUGAAUUUCUGCAUGCCAUGCUCAAGAGAUGCCAGAGAAACAGUCAUUCCUGAUCUAAUUCGCUGUUAUGGCAGGUUCAUAUGAUGAUGCAAUUAUUGAUCAGCUCAGAGAAAGAUGGUGUUCUUUGCCCCAUCCCUUAGUACCCAUUGUACUUUGCCUCAAUUGCUCAGCAUGGUGGUUCUCUUGUAUGUUUCUAAAUGCACGUCAUAGAAUUAUCUUCUUUAAAAGUUGAAGUAUUAACACAGUUGUGCUACUCAAGUACUCUCAUGAUAAAUGAACCUGCUCCUUGGACAAGGUGUUUGAACCAUUCGAGUUGUGGAGCUGGUGCCUCUUGACCAGGAGACUGGACAGUGCAAAAGGUUCGGUUUUUUCGUCUUGAAGAUGCUAGAACUGCUCAGAGUUUGAAUGGGAAAUUCGACAUUGCAGGGAGGAUCAUCAAGGUGGGAAACUGCCUUUUUUUGACUGAACUUAGGAACUUAGUAAAUUUUUAUGUAUUCCUUUAGAAUUUGAUACUUAACAACAAAAAAAAUUAUUUAGA